UACGAAGGGGGCUAGCGUUGCUCGGAAUUACUGGGCGUAAAGGGCGCGUAGGCGGACAGUUUAGUCAGAGGUGAAAGCCCAGGGCUCAACCUUGGAAUUGCCUUUGAUACUGGCUGUCUUGAGUUCGGGAGAGGUGAGUGGAAUGCCGAGUGUAGAGGUGAAAUUCGUAGAUAUUCGGCGGAACACCAAUUGCGAAGGCAGCUCGCUGGGACGUUACUGACGCUGAGACGCGAAAGCGUGGGGAGCAAACAGG
rnacentral:rRNA from 1 species